UCCUUUAGAUUCAUUCAUUUCCUUCGUUGUCAUCCUUCUUAUGCAAAGUUUCAUUACUUAAGAAAGACAACACUUUUAUAUACAUGUGUGGACUCAAAGGCAUGGAAAAAGGAAUUGAUGACAUCAUGGUUUCACUUGCUGCCAGAGAUGGCAUUGAUUGCACUGAAUACAAGAGGCAAUUGAAGAAGGCAGAGCAACGGAAUGUGGAAGUCUACUAAUUUAUAUGAUAACUCUCUGUAGAUAUAAAGCCAUGUUAGUUUUUCUAUGAUCAUCAUGAUUUUCUCCUCCUUCAUGAAACCACUUCAUCAUUUUGAGGGUCAUACAAAUAAUAUAGAUGAAUGCAACAUUGUUUUAUUUACUAGUUUCCUACCAUAUCUUUUGUGAGGAUUUCUUUAGUACCAUAUAGUUUCCUUAAUGAUUAAAAUCAUAGUUUCGA